rnacentral:pre_miRNA from 14 species
UGAUGCUCACCUAAUGGUCAUUGCAUCGGCACCUUGGCUCUAGACUGCUUACUGUGAAACUGUGCUAUAGGAACAGUAACAGUCUACAGUCAUGGCUACUGACGUAUGACUGCUACUUCUGUACAGCCA